GGUUACACAGAGAAACCCUGUCCCAGAAAACAAAACAAAACAAAAUCAGAAAUGAGAACAACGAAAGCAGUAUUCUAACAAUGGACACUGCAGGGCAAAAGAUGUCUACCUCUUGCCGCUGGUGGCAGAGGCAGGUUUGUGAGAGAAAAAGAAAAACAAGACUUAGCAGCCUGGGCUGUCUCUGAGGGACAGGCUCUGCUUCUCGUCUUUGGACUGGUAAAAUCAUGGGGAGGUUACAAUCACUAAUUUUAGAAUAGAGACAAAGUAAUUUUGUAUAAACUUCCUGCUGAAAAUUGAGGCCAGAAAGUGCUUUCUUUUUUAUAGCGCCCUACCCCCGCCCUUUAAAGGGCUUGGCUUUACUGGGGAGUUCAGGGGUCACCUCCUUUGCUUUACUCAGACACUGGGAUAACUGAAUAUGAUCAUUUAAACCAUGAGCCACCGUGCCGACAGCAGUGCUGUUUGAACACUGGGUUAAUCACAGCUUGAAAGUGACUUAUCUAUAACGUGCACUAUGACUAAGCUAGCUGCUAAGCAGUUUCAUUGUGAUCCUGGUGUCAGUGGAAUUCCUGUCACCUUUCCAACAGUUAAGUCAUUUUGCAUAACCACAGGGUGACAUCACUGUGUGACCAGAUUAUUGGCUGAAGACAAGGGGAAAAAAAUGUUUCCUGGACUGUAAACCUUUCCCAGAUCUAAAUGAGUGGCUUAGCCUGUUCCUACAGUACACGCGGGGGAGCCAAGUAAAAAACUGUGGUUUGAAGUGGCUAGCAUUGCUGUGACCUCUUGUGUGAGAGAUUCUGCCCUGUGACUGACUAUAUACUCCUUCCUCCACAGGGCCAGCCUUACGGUGAAGGGCCAGAGAAAGGAGACAACGUUGCUGUCUCCCUCUGGGAGGGUUACUAGUCCAGCACAGCAGCCGCUGUAGUUAAUGGCUGAACUACUGAGAAGGGGGAUGGAGACAGCAGGGUCUCACAGCUGAGAAAGAUGGAGGGCAGCGGCUCAGCAGCCGCUCUCCGGUCUUAGCUGUGGUCUCCCAACAAUGCCAGCUUCUACCACCUGCCGCUACUCCACCCGCAGAACGCUUGUAAUGUGAUCAGCUCUGGAGCAACAACCAUGGCAUCCUGUCUUCCAUCAGUCAAGACUUUGAGGGAGUUCCUGCGGUGGUAGCCAGCCUUCAGACUACCCUGAUGAUCCCUGUUUCCUGUUGUGCCUGCCCUGUGCAGUAUGGUACUAACAGAAUAUGACGACCUAGCUUGCCGGAAGUCAGCAGCCACAUGACAAAGACCGCCAGGGAAGCUCUCAGGAGGUGCCCAUGUGGAGAAGGACUGAAGUCUCUUGCCAGGCAUGCUCAGGAGCGACUUAGGCGUGAAUCUUUUGGCUGCAGAUAAGGUCUCCGAUGACGGCAGCCUUGGCAGACGCAGUGGCUGCAACCCUAUGGGAGACUCUGAGCCAGAACCACACAGAUAAGGCACUCCCGGAUUCCUGACCUACACAAGCGGGUGUGUGAGAUAAUAAAUGUUUAUUGUUUCAAAA